GCUGGGAGAUCAUGUCAUUUCUGUAUUUAUCUGAUGGGUCCUCAGCUCACUGGGAAUUCAUUGGGUUUUUUAACCAAGCAAAGGUUAUAUUAGUUGCUGGAAUUAACCAGGAAAGCAAUGCUAGUAAAUUCAAAAUAAAUAAAUUUAUUAAAUAUUUUCUCUUAAAAAUAGACUGCAACAAAAUGAGCGUUCUCCUUCAGGAUUAAAUCGUUUUUAAUCAUUAUCUGGUUUGGAAGAGAUAGUUGCAUCCAUAGUAUUAAUGUAAAAUUCAAAAGGCUAGGGAGAGGCAGGAAGCAUGGCGUUCUAGCGUGUGAAGCAUCGGUUUCUCAUCGUGUGCCCUUGGGUCUCAUGGGACGCAUUACUAUUAUUCUCCACAGGUUUGGUGAGGAUGAGAGUGGGCUGAUAUAAUGGGCUGAGGGUAGCUCAUGACAUAGUGUUUGCUUACAGACACCAGAUCCUACAUACGACUCCUAGAACCAAACUGUACGAAUCUGUGGGCGAAUGGGUUUCACUGAAGGUCAAGUGAUUAUGCCACAUUGAAUUCCACAUGAAUGCCAGUGAACUUACUGAAGAAUAAAUGGAUGAAUACUUAAACAUAUGUGUUUAUGGAUGACUAGAUGGAUAAGUGACCAAAUGAUAGAUUUUUUUCCCAGUGUUAAGGGAUCUUAAAUUACAAAUGGAAUCAGCUGCUUACAAACCACCAUGUACACAACAUAUAUGUUAAGGAUGUCAUGCCAACACACACCUGAUUGUCACUUUUCAAAAUUAUUGCUUUAUCCCUCGAGGGUGACUGUUCACAUUUGUAAUUAAUUUCAAAAUAAUCAAAUACUUCGUCCAACCAAACAGCUCCAGUGCUCCGUUCUUUAAUCGCCGCCUGCCAACUUUCAACCCAAUAUGUCACUGCUUGUCCUCACAGUCAACAGACAAAGAUGGCUCCUCUACACCUAGCAACGUGCUGGAGUUCCCAAAUGACAGUUUCAAAGCUACUAUACCCCAUGCCUCGGCUAGAAUAAGUGCAAAAUUUUGCAGGAGACUCCUUUGAACGGACAACCCCAUUUAGGGUAUUUGAAAUAAAACUCAAAGCAAUACUAACACCUCACAGCCACCUUUGGUAGUAUAAAACUUCACAUGGCUUAACCCACCAAGAAAGUUAAAAAGAAGUAUCGAAACAAUGCAUUUCAAAUACAUAUUUAUUCUGAAUAACUUGAACUUCCCUCAUGCCCUCUAAGUAUGAAUAAUUCAGUCUGAUACAGACUGUGAAGUUUUUUUGUUUUUUGUUUGUUUGUUUUUUUUUCUGGACAGAAUACAUUUCUGAAAAUUUGAAUACAUAGUGUUCGUGGUUUGUCAGUGGCCAGAAGAUCAAGGAUUCUUGCUUCAUUAAAUAUUGUUACUCCAUUAGCUAUUGUGGUUCGAAGCGAAGGGGCAGUGUACUAUCUGCCUCACCACCUUGCCCCCUUUUAUGGGAGUGUUCGUAGGCCUGUCUGCUAAUUAAUUUCAUAAAACCAUUUGAAACGUUUUCGUUUUCUAAAUGUGGUGGCUUUUCCUCUUACAAAAAGCAACAACCCACAAACCUGACCUUGGUAGAAACUGUCUUUACUUAAGUAAGUAUUUCACCUCUAACCUAAGUCUUAAAAACUUAAACAAACGUAAGAUAAACUGCGUUUUCUGAAUUAGUAAACAUCCAAAAGAAGGAAGGAGAAGAAUCCCAUGCUGCCCUAUCUUGGAAUUUAGGAUUGGUCCCUGGAAUGGAGUCGUGAGAAUGAUAAAAGAAUGUUGUAAACUCUUGGCGCUGGAUGCAGAAGCUACAGCGCAGGUGGCAUCCAUUAUCCACCUCACUGGUUAGCUGGUGUAUCGCUCCUGGGUCACAUAAGUAGCUCCUGGGUCACAUAAGUAUGUGAAAGCAACAAGCGCUGGUGCUUUGCUUCCGAUGACAGUAGGGCCCAAGGGAGGCUGCUUAGCUGACAUUUAUUUAUCUAGAAUAAUACAGGCAAGAAUUGUUAAGGAUUUCUGUGACGACCAGACACCACUGGUAAAUCAGUUAUGGAAGCCCAUGGCAAUUUAGCCCUCAGGGUAACUGUUUUUAACCUGCAGUGGCCCCCAACCCAACUCAUUUGAUAAGUGUUUUCCACAUUAUCCCCUGCCACCACGGCCCACAAAUAUGUUUUAGUCACUGCAUGGGACAAUGCGCCUGCUAAGUCUUACCUGUUAAGAAGUGUGCUUCGUUCCUCUAAAAGACACCUUUCUUUGCAUUUCAGCUACUAUCUUAAGCUUCUAAUGUUUACAGAGUGAGGCUUUAGUACAGUUUUCCUGCGUUCAGACAUGUGCUAUGUCUAAAUGCGACAUAAUAAUCAGUUGUGACGCUGCACUAAUUAAGCUAGUAAGCUUCUUUAGUGUUCCUAUGGCGAUCAGAUAUCAGUACCUUUAAAGGAACCAGAGAGUGAAUAGCACGUUUAAGGAUGCCAACAUGCCACAGAAUCACGAAGGAAGCACAAGUGAUCCAGUAGAUCAGGAAGUACGGUGGAGAAGAGAAUGCUGGAGAUGUGGACGCUGAGAAGCAGGGUGUCAUUAGAGCAGCCACAGAAGGUACGGACUGCCGAACGGAAGCACGCCAGUGUCACAGGUCGGUCGUCAUAGCGCACAUCUGUCGUGGGACUUGGAACAAUGCAGAGGAACUGGUUAUUGUUUCUAUCCCAGCACACUGGUCUUUCCAUGUGACAAAACACUCCUAUUCGCAAAGGUAUAUUUUCUUUCAAAUCCCAUUUUUUUCGGUUGACUAUUUCAGACCUCUCAAUGCCAUAGAAAUAACACGAUGAUAAUGAAUUUUUGUUUUGUUUUUCUUUUGUGUGGGUAAUAAUUCUCCUAGUCAGGCGUUAAACGUGGUGUCCUCUGCAAGACCAGCAAUCACAGAGCCAUCUCUCCAGCCUCUGAACAUGCACUAUCAUAUUUGACCCUUUUAACUAAAAAUGAGACUACAGGUAUUUUUCUUCAGCUAAAAUCUAUCCAUCCUAAAUAUUACAUCAGCCGAUUUAUCAGGUCAACAACUCUUCCCCUGGCACUGCAUAUAGCAUAUUAGCUUCUUCUUUU
rnacentral:lncRNA from 1 species